CUACGGGCUAAUUCUGUCAGCGGUUGUUUGCUUUUCAUGAAUGUUCAAUCCUACAUGCCUAGUUUCAAGUGGCAUAUAAAGAUGAAAGCGCGAACGGCUCAGUGCAACAGUUAUCAUAUACUUGGCCUUGAAAUCCCAUGGAUAGUUUUGAUAAUUCUUGAGCUGUUACAUGUACCGGAGCUCAGAAUUUUUGGACGAAUAUGUUAGUUAGAUUGAACCCGAUCCCUUCAGCUAGCAACUCCCAGUAAUUGGUGAUUUGGGUAGCUAUAGAUGAUCGCAUGCUCUCGAAUGGGUUACGUGCAUUAUCGGCUGUUUGUGGUAGGUUACUUCCCCUUGAUGAACAACAGAAUCAAGAUUGGACACGGGAGAGGAGAUCCGAGAAAUGGCCGCCACGUCCAAGAAGGACAGCAGACGGAGUUCACACUGAGUCAGGGUUGAGAGGUCAAGGUUGAGAGAAGCGAAUGAAAGCAUCCUUCUUGCUGCUGAGAUGUGAGAUUCUNUUGGUGAUUUGGGUAGCUAUAGAUGAUCGCAUGCUCUCGAAUGGGUUACGUGCAUUAUCGACUGUUUGUGGUAGGUUACUUCCCCUUGAUGAACAGCAGAAUCAAGAUUGGACACGGGAGAGGAGAUCCGAGAAAUGGCCGCCACGUCCAAGAAGGAUAGCAGACGGAGUUCACAUUGAGUAUUUCCGAGGUCAAGGUUGAGAGAAGCGAAUGAAAGCAUCCUUCUUGCUGCUGAGAUGUGAGAUUCUGUGCCUGCAGAGAGGCGCCCAACUGCGAGUAUGUUUGCCGAGAAUGUCUUCAUUUAUCAAGAAGGAAGGUCAGAGAUUCGACAUCGAUCAAAUACGCUAAUCGAUAGCAACUGGCGCUCCGUCGGCGGCAAAUGCGUCAUGAUAAAGAGUUUACCUGGAAUGAGCGUCUUUCGGUUCAGAAGGAUGUAUGACUGCAAAGCUGACACUUGAAGAAUGUGAGGAGAGACUAAUGCCAUGAGUGUAGCCUCUUUUAGUUUGAUCAACAUGGAAAAACUGAAAUUGCACUGAUAUUGGCAGGACUCACGGAUUCUUGACUCUAUGGUUGGCGGAACACGACAGUUCUUAGUUGUUGAAGUGAUUUGUCUGGUUUAUUUCGAUAAGAAGUGUGAUUCUAGCCAACUAAAUAUUCAUCACAUGAACAAGUCUAGAAGACCUCUUGGAAUGACAAACCGCAUUNUCUAUGGUUGGCGGAACACGACAGUUCUUAGUUGGUGAAGUGAUUUGUCUGGUUUAUUUCGAUAAGAAGUGUGAUUCUAGCCAACUAAACAUUCAUCACAUGAACAAGUCUAGAAGACCUCUUGGAAUGACAAACCGCAUUAAGUUGCGCAAUAAUAGGCCUCUGAUGCCCUCAACCAUUCAGGGCUGCGCACGCGUUAGUGGAGAAUUAGUGCGCUGUAAUCACUGUCGCAACGUACCGGUAACAGCUCGAUCAUCCUUUGCAAGGAGUUGCAAUUAUUACCUCUGACCAAGGGAAUCGUCGUGAGGACGAAUUAUUGCUCUUGUUGAUUAUGUUCUUGCCCUUAGUGCACACAGCCUGUCGCUGCAUAAGUCUAAGCCCGUUAAAGAAAAGAGCUAUUGCUGCUUCUAGACCAUUUGAGGUGCUUUUUUGUUCAUCUACUUAACCGCAAUGGCUUGAACCAGGCAAAAGCAAAGGCAAAUUCUCAGUAAAUGAACAUGCAAAAGGUCCUCAA
rnacentral:rRNA from 1 species